UCAACAUAUCCAAAUUAUGUGUGUUUGCUUUUUGUUUGAAUUUGUAUUUAUUUUUUAUUUUGAGUUUUGAGUUUUAUGUGGUUGUCAAUGUCAUAGUUGGAGUGACAACGUAUGGGCAUCUUAUUACUCAGUAUGGGCUUCUACAACAUCUCUUUGGUCUUCUUGAAUCUUUGGUGUUCUUAAACUUCAAUCUCCCUCCAUUUUUCGUUUCUAGGUUUUAGUGUCAGUCCUGAACAAUCAAGCGUCCAACCUACAACAAUCCAAGACUUCAUCAUACUCUCUCUUCUCCACUAAUUGAUUACAUGGGAAUGAUUCGUAGUCCUUCAAUAAAUAUUACUCUGAGUUUGUGCAUAGGUUUUUGUCUAAUGAUAUCAUUUAUGGGUUUCAGUAUGCGAUUGGGAGAUGGAGGCAGAGGAGUAGAUGAUAAAAGCGGAAUUUGUUGUGGUUUUGGUAUUCUUUUCUCUCUACAAAUUUCUAAUUUGAUUUUUGAUUCAUCCUUUGAAAAUUUCAGGCCUGAAUUCAUCCAUCACAGCUGCUCAAGGGCAUUGGGUCAUGGAAAGUUCAGGUUUGCUCAAUUUCUAACUUUAAACACAAGAUUCCCAUUACAUUUGAUAUGUUUAUUUGCUGAGAACCAUCGUGGUUUUGAUUUCUGUCAAAUAGCAAGCAUUAUGAUUUUCAACUUCCUUAACAGCAACCUUUGUGCUUUAAUUUUAAAAGACUAGAUCAUGAUUACUCUGUUCUGCACAUGCUUGUUUCAUUGGUGGAUAUGGAGUUCAAGAUUCUUUAUAAUGGUAACUCAACUAAGAAGAGAUGUUCCUGUUCAGUUUGGAGCAUUAAGUGAAGCAUAUCAAGUUUUAAGUGAUCCACUUUAAAGAGAUGCUUAUCAUUGAGAUGGAAAAAAUUACAUGUCUAGUUAAUUUUUUCUAGUGUAGAGUAGGUGAAUAAUAUUGAAGAAUUCUGUUCUGCCAUCAUGUAUAUUGACAAAAGCCAAAAGGGUCAACGCAAAAUGCAAUGGUGUAGCCUGUACCUUGGGCUUAGUCAUUGGCAGCUUGGGGAAGGUUUGAUAUUGUGGGUCUUCUAAGGUAGAAGUUCAGUUGCAGUUUUGGGCAUAUGGGGACAACCAAAGCUGCAAUGUGCAUAGAUUAUGAAUCAGUCUUAUGAGGUGAUGUUAAUAACAACUACACCUUUGUGCAAAUGAAAUCACAAAACUCCAGGUAUGAACUAAAGAUUUUGAGCUAAAUGAUAUGGCCUCCAGGUAACUAUUAGUAUUGUUUUUAAAUUUUCCAUUCCACCUAUCUUUCAACCUUGCACUUGCAGUGCCAUGACUACACAAUUGAAGUGCUCAUCACCAAGAGCUUCAACAACCUUGACAUUGUCCUCUUAGGUUUUGGAACACCAACAUUUCAUAUGUUUUCCUCUUGGCUUUUUAAUUCUGGCAGAUUACUGUUUAUUUGGUUUCUCAAUUUCAUGAAUUAUAUUUUUUUCUUCAAUAUGAGUUCUUUCCCUUUUGUUUUUUAUUUUUUCCCUUUAUACAUACAUACAUAUAUAAAUUCUCUUUUUGGAUUUUAUUUAAAGCAUGAAAAAUUAGUCAAUGAACAUGAUACUAAAGACAUUAAUGAGCUCAAGCAAGACUGUUACAUCAAUUACAAUAUAUACUUUGGGGUUUGGGCACAAUUUAGUGAUAAAUUUUUUAAUGCAUUGGAAGCUAUUUAAUUUUAAUUGCUUGAUUGCUUGUUCCCUUUUUUUGGGCAGUGGCUCAAGAGACAGAGUGAGCUUCAAUUCAUCUUUGAUUACACAACGAUUUGUUUUGGUCUUGAUUGGCCAUUGUUUCGAAGAAAUUUCAUACCAUGCUUCGUGAUCAGUAUUUAAUGUAGGUUAAUAGCAUUAUCUUAUGUAUCAAUUAUGAAUGUCUUGUGCAUGGUUUAAGAUUUUGUUGUUUCACAUUUGGUAUGCAAAAAAUGGCAUGAAUAAGGGAAUUUUACUGAAAUUUACAAUUUUUAAAAUGAAAAUUAAUUUGAUCUAAUCUUUCUUAAACAUAUAUAAAUUAUUCGUAUAUGGUCUGUUUGUGUAUUCAGUAGUUAGUUAUUUGGACUUUGGUUAUCUCUCGGUUUUGAUUUUCGCAAAAGCAAAUAUGCACAACUUCACAUUUUUUGCCCUCCAAAUCGGCAUGCACCCUGCAUUCCAAGAGUGUUGAUGUUGCCUUUCCUGUUUAUUUUGCAAAGGAGAGCCCCGCUAAUUGCAAUGCUGAAUGAGGAGAACCUUUUGGCUGAAGUCCAGCAUAGCUUGGGGAAGGUUUGAUAUCAUGGGUCUUCUAAGGUAGAAGUUCAAUGGCAAUUUUGGGCAUAUGGGGACAAUUAUUGCUGCAAUGUACAUAGAUUAUGAAUGUCUUAUGAGGUGAUUUUAAUAACAACUACACCAUUGUGCAAAUGAAAUUGCAAUAGUAGUUUUGGGCAUAUGGGGACAAUUAUUGCUGCAAUGUACAUAGAUUAUGAAUGUCUUAUGAGGUGAUUUUAAUAACAACUACAUCAUUGUGCAAAUGAAAUCGCAAAACUCCAGGUCUGAACUAAAGAUUUUGAGCUAAAUGAUACAGCCUUCAUGUAACUUUUAGUUUUGUUUUUAAAUUUCCCAUUCCACUUAUCUAUCAACCUUGCAGUGCCACGACUACACAAUUGAAGUGCUCGUCUCCAAGAGCUUCAACAGCCUUGACAUUGUCCUCUUUAGCAAACUGAUUGGCCUGAUGAAUAUGGAGAAAGCUACAUCGUGGACAACAGUACCUAAUCUUUCUCCCUCUCUCUUUGGCAUUGGUAUUUAGCUUUGGAAGUCAAUUUCAAGUUUUGUGAAUGAGAGGUUCUGGAAACUGAAGGUAAAAUGAUUGAUGGGUUGUUGUGUUUAUAUGCUUGGAGUUAUGAUAUAUGACAUUUAGCCAUACUUUGAUUUCGAAAUAUCAGAGGGGAAGUUUGAAAGAAUCAGAGAGCUUUAUGAGAAACUUCUAAACAAACUAAAGCACUUGAAGGGUCACCAAUUAAACACAGAAAGCGACACAGGAGAAAGAAUUUUCAAAACCAAGAACCAUGUCUCAUGAGAGAUGUCUAUUUCAAAAAUAUGAAGUGGCAGGCAGCAAUAAAAGUUGAUAAGAAACAAAUUCACUUGGGAAACUGUUGGUUCGCAAGAAGAGGCUGCUCGUAUAUAUGACAGAACACAAGAGAAGGCUUGGGGCAGGAUCACAGAGGAGGUCUGUGUCUCCGUUGCGAAACAGCGACUGGGAUGGCAAGCAAGAAGUCAAUGGCCAUUCGAAUUUAGAAGAUUUGGAGCCCUAAACAUCUGCCUCUUGAAAACUACAAUCAAGAACAAACACCAAAUUUUCUAGUUCUAACAGUAAAGUUCUAGCUGAUAGGUUCCAAUUUUUGUUGUAUGAAGACCCACUCAAGGGUCAAUCACGGUAGAUUUCAUUGUCUCAUGGUAAACAAAUUUUUCUUGCUUUAAACCAAUAAAGAAUUCCAUAUUGGAUGCAUCAUAGUCAUUAAUCAGCAUCUUCUUCAGUUGGAUGAGCUCGUGUGCAGAUAUAAUUCUGUCUCAUGAGGUUGAAGCUUAAACACAUUCAAACUCGUUAUAAACUGUUCAUGUAGGAAAAGCUUCUUGAGAAAUUUGGCAGAGAAGUUCCUAUUGCCAAUAAUUUAUCUGCUAUUUACAUAAUUGUAUACUGAAUUCAUGCACUACCAGUAGCGGUAUGCAAUUAUAAGCUAAU